CACUGCUGUAUCGAACCAACAAGACCAAUGCAAGACCAAUAAUAAGAAGGCAUCCAGCCCACUUCUUCCUUCCCACUUUUCUAGUUAAUAUAUACUUCUUCAUUCCCACUUUAACUCAGCCUAUACUUAACUAGUGCUUCACUAGAGGUCUCAUGUUCAAGCCCUCGAUAUGGAGUCCCCCCUACUUAACUGGUGCUCCACCAGAGGUCUCGCGUUCAAGCCCUCGAUAUGGAGUCCCCCUACUUAACUAGUGCUCCACUAGAGGUCUCGUUUUCAAGCCCUCGAUAUGGAGUCCCCCUUCAUUAGGGAGCGCUUUAGUGCUUUACCCCUAAUGUGAGACUUUUCGACGUGAAUCUGGAUUUAGUCAGACCCCAAUACGGGGUACCAGAAACUAGUCUUCC
rnacentral:lncRNA from 1 species